rnacentral:rRNA from 1 species
UACGUAGGCAGCAAGCGUUGUUCGGAAUUACUGGGCGUAAAGAGUGUGUAGGCGGUGCUCUAAGUUCGGUGUGAAAUCUCCCGGCUCAACUGGGAGGGUGCGCCGAAAACUGGAGUGCUGGAGCGCGGGAGAGGAAAGCGGAAUUCCUGGUGUAGCGGUGAAAUGCGUAGAUAUCAGGAGGAACACCGGCGGUGUAGACGGCUUUCUGGACCGUAGCUGACGCUGAGACACGAAUGCGUGGGUAGCAAACAGG